rnacentral:rRNA from 1 species
AGCGAACGCUGGCGGCAGGCCUAACACAUGCUAGUCGAACGGAUCCUUCGGGAUUAGUGGCGGACGGGUGAGUAACACGUGGGAACGUGCCCUUUGGUUCGGAACAACUCAGGGAAACUUGAGCUAAUACCGGAUGUGCCCUUCGGGGGAAAGAUUUAUCGCCAUUGGAGCGGCCCGCGUCUGAUUAGCUAGUUGGUGAGGUAACGGCCCACCAAGGCGACGAUCAGUAGCUGGUCUGAGAGGAUGAUCAGCCACACUGGGACUGAGACACGGCCCAGACUCCUACGGGAGGCAGCAGUGGGGAAUCUUGCGCAAUGGGCGAAAGCCUGACGCAGCCAGGCCGCGUGAAUGAUGAAGGUCUUAGGAUUGUAAAAUUCUUUCAGCGGGGACGAUAAUGACGGUACCCGCAGAAGAAGCUCCGGCUAACUUCGG